UACGGAGGGGACUAGCGUUGUUCGGAAUCACUGGGCGUAAAGCGCAUGCAGGCGGAUCAUUAAGUCGGGGGUGAAAUCCCGAGGCUCAACCUCGGAACUGCCCUCGAUACUGAUGAUCUUGAGUCCGGGAGAGGUGAGUGGAACUCCGAGUGUAGAGGUGAAAUUCGUAGAUAUUCGGAAGAACACCAGUGGCGAAGGCGGCUCACUGGCCCGGUACUGACGCUGAGAUGCGAAAGCGUGGGGAGCAAACAGG
rnacentral:misc_RNA from 1 species